AAAUUGAAGAGUUUGAUCAUGGCUCAGAUUGAACGCUGGCGGCAGGCCUAACACAUGCAAGUCGAACGGUAACAGGAAGCAGCUUGCUGCUUYGCUGACGAGUGGCGGACGGGUGAGUAAUGUCUGGGAAACUGCCUGAUGGAGGGGGAUAACUACUGGAAACGGUGGCUAAUACCGCAUAACGUCGCAAGACCAAAGAGGGGGACCUUCGGGCCUCUUGCCAUCAGAUGUGCCCAGAUGGGAUUAGCUUGUUGGUGAGGUAACGGCUCACCAAGGCGACGAUCCCUAGCUGGUCUGAGAGG
rnacentral:rRNA from 1 species